rnacentral:misc_RNA from 1 species
UUAAGUUCAGCGGGUAUCCCUACCUGAUCCGAGGUCAAACUUAGAAAGUUGGGGGUUGCUGGCAAGUACGCACCGAGAACCCUGUAGCGAGGAGUAUUACUACGCUUAGAGCACGAUGGCACCGCCACUGAUUUUAAGACCGAUCAGAAUUGAUGCGGUCCAAUACCAAGCAGAGCUUGAGUGUUGUACUGACGCUCGAA